UAAAGGAGGAAUGAGGAAGGAGGAUUUAUCACCCUAAAGAAGAUAAAACUUACCAAAUUGUGAUUGUUUAUAAAAACCUUCCUGAGAUCUCUGAUGAAAAGAUAGUAGUGAAAAAGUUGAGUACCUCAAAGGAAUCUUAUUUUUUGAUCCUGGUAUUUGUUUCAAUUUGUGACUCGGCACAGUUUAAUCAGCAACUGAGGGGACCACUGACUACUAUGAGAAGAGAUGGAAUACUGUUCAUUUUGGGUGUCCCCAGACUUUAGAUUGCUGACAAUCUCUGAAGUGUUUGUAACUAACAGUAUGCUGCUGUUCUUUCAACUUCAAAAGAUUCCAGGUAACUGCUAUCAGGAGUUCCCAGUCUCUGAACCAGAGGAUGCUAAUAAGAUACUCUUGCAAAUAUGUUCAGACCUGUUGGAAGAAAAUUAUCCCAACAGCUCAGGAAUGUAAUGAAUAUCUUACAUCUUCUAUAGUAAAUAAACCAUGCAGAUAAAUCUGAAGUAUGUCUGUUG